CCAUCGUCCCGCCCCCUGUUCACAUCCUUAGGGAACCACUCGCAGCCUGGAGCUCGCUCUGCCCCGCAGACGCGGCGCCCGGUGGCUGCGCUGAGGGUUCCUCUCUGCGUUCCCCCACACAUCCGUCAGAUCCGGAUGCCGCUGCUCAAAUAAAGGACUGCCUCUGCAAUGCAGGGCCUUUGAUUUUAAUUACGGCGAUCAUUUCAGAUCCCAGGGAUGCGCUGUGUGGGGCGGGCAGCGUUCUGAUGGACGCAGUGAUGGGAAUUUGGAGCAUUGUUUCAAAGCAGCACCCGGCAGAGCUCCAGUCACCAAAGCACCGCGCGUUUCCUUCCUUCUGCUUAUCAGCACAGCGCCUGACAGUGCUGGCGGCAUUCCUGGCCAUAAAGGGGGCUGUAAUUAACGACCUAACGAUGCAGCUGCAACGUGAUGGGAUUGCGGCAGAGAUGUGGAGCUGUGGUUCCUGAGGAUGAAUGGGAAGUGAGUGUUGGGAAAUGGGAUUUCCAGUGGCUGCAGUGGGGUCACCCAGCAGGUGCCCAUCACAGUGGUUACAGUGGGUCGCCCAUUGGUGCCUGUUGCCACUGUGCACUGAAAAGGAGUAGCGACAGUUGAUCCCAUCUUACAGUCCAGUCUCAGCUGAGCUCCGUGCAAACAGAAGUACAUUUUCCUUCCUCUUCGCUGUGCCCCUCUCCUGCCCACGAGCUGGGGAGGUGUCUGGUUAAUGAACAAACAGUGCGUGGUGUUUAUUAGUGUCGAUUUCACCUUGUUUGACCUUAACGUGGCCAUAAAAACCUGCGGGUUUUUGCAGGUGGAGGGACACUGGGGUCAGCCACCUUUGGUCACCGUGGAACCAAAUACAUUUGGACCAUGUCAUCUUCUGUGCAGCUGAGAAUUGCCCCCCACCCCAGCACCCCAAACGGACGCCAACGAGCACAGCCGUCCUUCCUGGCAGCAGGGAGCCCUCCUGACCCGCCGCGUGGCCAUGCUGUCGCCGCGUGCUCACGAGUUCUUUUUUGAGCAGCUCUACGGCUGCGUGCCGGUGAGUCACAUGUCACUCAGUGGCACUUCCUUUUUCCGUGCUCAUUUCUGAGCCGUUGGUGGCGACGCUUUGCCAACACAAACAGGGGGUGACAGCUGCGACCGCAGGCAGGCGAUGCUCUCUGCUUUUAGAAUGUGCCAGCUUGAGGUUGAUGCUAGGAGAGCUUUGGCAAAGGGGACACCAGCAUUCCUGGGGAGUGCCUCUGUGCCCCUGGGGCAGCUCAGCUCUGCGACAGGCACGGAGCUCUGCUGCAGGAUGCAUCGCUGAUCCCAAAGCUUCCAUUCAGACUUCAAGCUGUAAGGUGUUGCUUAUGGGGUCAAGGUUAGGAUCAGGGUCAGGAUUAUGGUUAGGAUGUGAGCACUGUUACGUCAGGAUUUCUGGAUGCCUUCCUUGGAGGUAGUGUUGGGAUGAGGCAGCACUGCAGCUAAUAAAGAACUGAGGGAUGGCAGUGUUUCCACCUGCAGAUUUUUAUGUUCUUGGUUUGCUCUGGGCUGUGCUGCGGAGCGUUUCUCCAAAGGUUGGGUGGCAUCACAUCUCAACAGUGCAAAACCCUUCGUACCCACUUGGAAGAAUCGGAGAACCUUGGAAAAUUCUGAGCUGGAAGGAACCAUCGUGAUAUUCGUGUCCAAUUUCUACCUCCAUACAGGACUGCCCUGAAAGAAGAUAAGGAGCUCUAUCAGCUGGUGGCAAAACCAUGGGCUGGCAGGGUACCAAGCUUCUGUAGGAUAACAUUUGCUGGCACCUUGUCACAGAGCUGCCAACAGUGACAUGUUCUUUGUCACUGCAGCUGAUCCCACUGCUGCCCACGGUGGUGGGAGGGCUGUGAGCUGGGAGUGGGGACCAGUGGAGGAAAUGGGGACCUCUGGGUGUGCUGAGGGGUGUGGGGGGGCAGAAUUGUUGGGGGAAGGGAAAGCGACGGGCACAGAAGGAAUGGACUAAAGGCAGGCGUGAAAGGAACAGGGUGAGGCAAUGUGUAGGUGUCAGGCAAGAUGAUCAUAGAGGUCUUUUCUGACAUUAUUGAUUCUAUAGGGCUGGGAGGGGAAGGAAAGCUGGAGCCUGAAGGCAGGCAGCUUGUUUUUGCAGAGCCCAAUUAGGGGUGUAGAAAAAAAUUCCCAAAGUGUUGGGAUCUGCAGCUGUCCUGCUCCCACACCCCAUGGCCUUCCUCUGAAUGAAGCACACAUCGAUCCCGAUGCUGCAGGAAAGGGAGCUCUUUGGGGUUCAGUGCUCUGUGGGAGGAACCAUGGGGUUGGUGGGAAUGGCCGUGGAGAGGAGUGGGGAAUGGUUCUUCUUUGUAUCAGCGUGGUAACAACAGCAGGAAUUCCACCUGCAGGAGCUGACAGCAGCUCUGUCCCCAUUGGAACCUCACGUAUUUCAGCCCGUGUGUGACUCCACGAUGGGCCAAAGCUGGGGGAGAGGGAUCUGAAUUCAGUUCUGUCGGUGGACCUGGAUCUUGUUUUUCUGAGACUGUUUUUGUUGUUGCAGAUGAACACACAAAAAGGAACAACUGUCCUUCAAUGGCAGUCAGUGCCCACGCAGAGCAGUGGUCCUCAUGGGAUGGUCACAAAGUGCCUGGAUACGUUCAGGAGGAGAUGUGUUGCUCUUCAGACCUGUGCUGCUUUGCUUUCCUCAUCCACACGUCCGUGCGUCUCUCAGCAAAAGGGUCUUUGGAAGAAAGAGUUGGGAACAGUGCAGGUGAGGGGGGCUCUGUGCUCACGUCUGUGCAGUGCAGGGUGGUAUGAGUGCUCCUAACGGAGCAGCAGCUUCUCAGCUUCAUUCCCCGGGUCAUUGCUGUGAACCAGAGAGCAUCGCUGGGUGGUCCUGAGUGGGAGCAGUUCCUAAAUUGGCCCAAACGAAGCAGUUCAGCUGUGUAAAUCCUCUGCCUGGUGGAAAGCAGCGCAUUUAGGAGCCUACAUAUCCUUAGAGAUGUUUCUAUGGGGCAGAAAUGGGGCCUGGUCUGUAUUGGGAACAUCAUCCUGGAGAACAAUGGGGUGAAAAGGGAUGCAGCUGAUUCAGUUUCCUUUGGUAGGUGUGUCUACGUGCUGGCAAAGGGCUGAAUGGAAAUGUGCUUGCAUUACCGCAUUUAUUUUAGCACUGGAACAGGCUGCCCAGGGGGGUGGUGGAGUCUCCUGCUCUGGAGAUGUUCAACACCUGCCUGGAUGCCCACCUGUGCGACCUGCUGUAGGAACUGCUUUGGCAGGGGGUUGGACUCGAUGAGCUCUGGAGCUCCCUUCCAACCCCUACAAUUCUGUCAUUCUGUGAUUUCACUUCUAUAUCUUCUGGUAGAGCAGAUUUGCUCUGAGGAUCUCCUACAAUCUGCACUCCGGUGGAAACAUCAGCACCAGACCUUCCGUACAUUGAUUCCGAUCACAGCGCUCUAUGAAACAGCAAAAAAGUGUGUCUGCAGUCACUCUGGAUUCCUCUUGGCCCCUUGUCAACUGCUUUAUGGUCGGUGAGUCCCAUCAUCAGGGCUGGCAGCUCCGCAUCACCAAUUCCCCAUCACCUGUCCCCAAUUUUUGUCCGCUGUCCUCCAGAGUUACCAUCAACCUCUCACCUCUGUGACAGCAGGACGUGAAUUUCUGACAGCAUUUUCAGCCAGGUGCAGCUGCUGUUGCACCCGUUUGCCCCUCUGCCCAUCCCUUGGCCACCCCAUGGCAAUGUGUUGAAGCCUGUGCUGCUCUACCAGCCCUAAAGCCAUCAGCAUUGCAGCGCAGUUAAUUAUGGGACGCUGCCAACCCCACUGCUGUGUCCUCAGCAAAGAGUUUCGCUGAGCAUCUGAAUUGCUCUCCAAAACAACAAGUCAGUGAUACGUUUUUCGUUGCUACCAAAACUUUUCACAUUUAGCUGUACCUGUAUCCCAUAUGGGUUUGGCUGUGCCUGUAUCCAUUGUGGAUAUGGGGCACCCGCACCCACUGUGGGCUGAGCUGAGCCCUCACCCAUUGGCUGUGCCCACACCGCUAUGGGCUGAACGUUCUCUUCCGUGCUGAAAAGCUACACAGACGUCCAUCCAGGAGCAGAAGGCUGAUGCAAUCCAGACAUCUUGUGAAAAAUUAAAAUAAGGUGCAUCCCACGUGCUCCAUCAGAAAGUGCCCUUUUGGAAAAAGAAGUUGCGAAUGGACUCGUGUUUACACCACUUCUUAUGCAUCUCAUAUUAAGUCUGUGCAUCCUCAGAGGGAACUCUCAGCCCAAAGGAAUCUCCUGGAAACCCAGGACACAUCAUCUUCAGGCCUGCAGCUUUGCUGAAGUCAUAGACCCAGAGUCUGUUCUUUGGAAAAGAAUUGAAAAAGGAGGAAAAAAACCCCACAAACCAACAACAAAACCCCAAACCGUGUCCUUAGGGGUCAUGAAGUGCUGCAUUUCAUGGACUGUGGGACGUCAGCACUGUGAAGUGGUCCCAGCACCACACGUCCUCUACAUUCCUCACUGCCCCGUGCUCUGUGGCAGCACGGUUUCCCAUUGUGUUUCAAACAUUCUUCACUGGAGUUCUUAAUAACUACAGAUGUCAGAAGGGGUUUGGGAGCUGAGCUUUGAUGCUAUCCAACAUCCCACCCAUGGGGUUGCUAACUCCACUCCCAACGUCCAAUUGCACUCUUUUGUGUAAGCACAGCAGUUCUGUUUUUUCUGUUUCUUUUUCUUCUUCUUCUUUUUUUUUUUUGUCUAAAUGCAUUAAAAUGGUCCAAAACCACAGAAGGACAACCUCAGUGUUAUCGACAGGAGAUGGCAAAUUCCCACCCUACUACAGGGAGAUCCCCAGUGCUUAUGGGAUGAUCUGAAGCCCACAGGAUCUGGAGCGGCUGCCCCGAUGUCGCAGUGCUGUUCAGUCCUUCUCUGCUGUGCAGAAUUCCCCUUGCCAGUGGGGCCCAUCAUGAUGCUCACAGAAAUCCGUGGUUAACUUUGGAUUGCUGUGGGUUGGGGUGGCUGGGUGUGGGACCCACAGGUCUCCAUCCUCGCUUGUUGGUGCAGGGCUCUGCCCGGUGUGCUGCGUGUGAGCUCGCUGUGACAAGAGCAGCAUCUUCAAGUGCCUUCACCACGUCCUCAUUUCCAACAUGCUCUCCUCCCUUCUGCUCCCAAAGCCCUCCUGAGCCCCGGCACCAGGCAGCACAGUCCCACAUCACAUCCCAACUUUCUCCUCCAUCCCUGCACGUGGAUCUGUCUGUACCGAGGGGUCUGUGCUCCCCAGGACACACGGCGCGUUCCUGACCCUCGGCAGUGGGAAUCCACCAAGGGAGCGGUGAUGGAGGAUUGUCCGAGGGCAUGAAGCCAACACAGAGGCAUAGGAAGCACUCCUGUCUGCAGGGCUCCUUCUGACCACUGCGUGUGACAUGAGGAGAAGCUCACAGGGAGGCUCUGUGGGACCCUUCCCAAAGCUACCAGGGCCCUACGGAGGCAGAAUGAGUAUGGUAAAAACACAGCAUCUACCCACAGCAACGGCUCACUACGAGUUAAUAAGAACUGGCAGCAGAUGAACGGAGGUCAAGGCUGGGAGGAGCGGUGGGCACUUGGCAUUUACAGGGGGAAAAUAAAGGGAUAGCAAGGGGGAAAAUGGACUCUUUUCAUUUCUUGCAUUAGCGAUCCCCCGGGGCAGCAGAGUGUCGCAGUGAGCGGGGUCUGAAAAGAAAAACAGAUCUGUCUGUGGGCAAAUGGACUGCGGGAUGCUCUUUGCUCACUGCGAGGAGGUGGAGUCUCUGUUUGCUCCGAGCUCUGUGCAGACCAUUGCUGGACACGAUGGAACCCAUCCUGAAAAAAAAACGUGCUAUCCUUGGA